AAGUCGUAACAAGGUUUCCGUCGGAAGGAUCAUGAACUCGUAUCCAACGUUAAACCCCCCUGUGAACCUUCAGAAAACUCUUGCAUACCGUACGGAACAGCAAUCUGGUAAAUCAGUGGCGAAAGUCGUUUUUGACUCAGGACCUCUGUCCAGGACCGCAGUGGGUCUGGAUACCAGGCCGGAUGAAAGUGUCGCUGUACGGGUUCGAGGUUAACAUUACGAUCGCUAGAGGCUCACCACGGGCCGGCGGACAGACCUGCAGGGCCUCGAGUCCCCUUCCUGACGACCAGCUUAAACCGGGCCUCGUCACAGCAAGUGCGCCGUGAUGGAGGAAAACGUACAACUGUUAACAAUUGAUGUCUUGGUUCUC
rnacentral:misc_RNA from 1 species